UACGGAGGGUGCAAGCGUUAUCCGGAUUCACUGGGUUUAAAGGGUGCGUAGGCGGGCAGGUAAGUCCGUGGUGAAAUCUCUGAGCUUAACUCAGAAACUGCCAUGGAUACUAUUUGUCUUGAAUGUUGUGGAGGUAAGCGGAAUAUGUCAUGUAGCGGUGAAAUGCUUAGAUAUGACAUAGAACACCAAUUGCGAAGGCAGCUUACUACACAAAUAUUGACGCUGAGGCACGAAAGCGUGGGAUCAAACAGG
rnacentral:rRNA from 1 species